rnacentral:rRNA from 1 species
AUGUUAGCAGACACUAAAAGGCGAAGGGAGGAUUGGCUUGAGGGUAAUGCAGGCAUGUCUAACUACGAAGCGGAAGCCAAAUCUUGGACAUCGCUUUGGUCUGUCCAAGUGCCCGGGAAGGUUAGAAAUUUCCUUUGGAGGCUUGCUAAACAUUCCAUUCCCACCGAAGAUGUUCGACACACGAGGCAUAUGUCCGAUGAUGACAAAUGUCAGCUAUGUGGGAUGCAGGAUAGCUGGUGGCAUUCACUGAUGCAGUGUUCUGUUGCCCGGUGUGUCUGGGCCCUUGUGGAUGAUGACGUUGCUGAUUAUAUUCAGGCUUCUACAAAGCAAGAUGCUAAGCGCUGGUUAUUCUGUAUGUUUAAUGAUUUACCACAUGCUAGCAUGGUCAAGCUGGUCGUGACUUUGUGGGCAUUAUGGACGGCAAGGCGUAAAGCUAUCCACGAGGGAGUCCUGUAGAGCCCUCAUGCUACACAUGCUUUUGUGACUAGCUUCAUCUCUGAACUAGAUUCUCUGAAGACCCCGGCGCAUGUUGCACAAAAUGGAGCAAGGCCUACUAGUACAUGGUUGGCCCCUACUGUGGGAGUUGCGAAGAUACAAGUUGAUGGAGGCCAGGUGAGGAACGGUAGGAGAGGUGCAGCUGCGGCACUCUGCCGAGACCAGAAUGGUGUCUAUUUGGGGUCGUCGGCUAUGGCCUUUUCAGAUAUUUCUGACCCAGCAACGCUAGAGGCGCUAGCUUGUCGAGAAGCGCUGAACCUAGCUUUGGAUUUAUCAGUUGAACACAUUAUCAUCGCAUGUGAUAACAAGACUGUGGUGGCGGAUAUCAAUAACGGAACUGAAGGUCCAUACAGUGCUAUUAUCAAGGAGAUUCGUGCCAGGUCAAGGAGUUUCAGAAGCUGUGAGUUUAUUUUUGAAGGUCGGGCGAGGAACAUUGAUGCCCAUAAUUUAGCUAAAUUUUCGUCUUCUUUAGAUGCUGGUCGCCAUUUGUGGCUGGGAGUACCCCAUGACCAGUUUGUUAUUCCUGUAAACCGUUCGGCAUCGCCAUAA